UCCUCUAUUCUAGCAUUUCAGGCGUGGUCAGGGUUCCAAAAUAACUUACAAAAAUAAGGUCAGUUCCAAAGCCUGAUCUCGGAGCCUAUGAGAAAUUCUUCAGAGUCCAGCAGCAUUUUCCCACGCUAAGUAUCAAUUUUUACCUAUCCUGAUUGUGAAACCUCAGAGAAGGCCAUAUGUAUAGUCUCCUGCCUUAAUUACUGCAAUCUUUUCCUCUCAGAGAAUAACUUCAAAGAGGAGGGAAGAUAAUCAACAAAUAAUGAUAAUUAAAAGAGAAGAGAACAAACAAACAAGAUUGCAGAUCCUGGCACAGUGCUCUGUCAAUUCAAAGGCUUUCGUGAAAUCUACAAGGAGCAUGGCAUUUAGCCAGAAUCCUUAAUAAAUUGAAUUGAAACUCACCAUUGUGCUCAUGUGGCAAAGGAUAUCAGACAGCCCAACAUAUACUAACUGACUGCCCUCUAUAUGGUCCACCAGAGGGAGUGAACAGUCUGAAAGAUUGCAGUAAUAGUGAUGGAUCUACUCUUAAAUGGGUGGAAGAGUUGACCUUCUGAAGUCAUAUACAAGAAGAUCCAGCACCGCCCACAAGAUAAAACAGGUAAUUUUAAGAUUUAUUUUUCCUACAGUAGUGACUUGGUAAUACACACCUUGCUAAACAAAUCCCCUCAACCCUGCAAUACAAAUUAUGUGGACAGACCCUCAUGUCUUUGCUAAGUCCCAGUGAAGCUUGUGGCACUCUACAUGGGCAUUUUGAUUUAAGGAUUGAAGCCUGACUUGAAUGGGACUAUUCCCAACAGCAGUGGCAUAUGAGAGAGGUUGGAGAGAAUGAUCUUUGUAAACCCUUUGGGCAAAAUGGUUACCCAUGAAUGCUGAAGACUAGGACUGAUGGCCCAGGAGCCUCCUUCCAGUGCUAUGUUCCUUUAUAAGUAGGGAUCAUUCAGUAGAUUUUAUAGACAAAGCACUAAGGAACUUGUACACAUGCUCUCUAUGCGACCAACUGAAGAUAUCAGAA